ensembl:lncRNA
GGAAGUGUUCACAUACCCUGGCUCAGCAGGACAACAAAGAAUCUGUCAGGAUUCUUGCAGAAGAGCUGCCUGCAUUCUGUGACUAGCAUCGUAGGAUCACAGUGCUGGAAGGUUCUACAGGUCUCAGACUGAUGCGCAUACUUCCUGAUGAAGGUAUGAAAACCCAGAGAGUGAUAUCACAGAGCUGGAUGAAGAAUCAGGAUGCUUUGACUAUCUGGCUGAUAUUCUGUGCAUCAUGUCAGACUCCUGGAGGAACAGGGCAAAGACUAGCAGAGGAAAACAUCAGACAAACAGGACAUUCUACAAAGUACCUGACCAAUAUUCUUCAAAAUUGUAGAGGUCAAAAAAGAAAAGGAAAACUGAAGAACUGUCACAGAGGGGACUAACGUGUUACGACAACUCAGUGCACCAUGGAACCCUGCCUAGAUUCUGGAAAAGGACAUUAGUGGAGAAAUUAGGGAACUCUACAUAAAGUCCAAGUUUAGCUAAUAGUGAUAUACCAAUGUUACUAUGGCAGUUAGAUAUCUUAUUGUAAGAGGCCAUCUUAAUGUAAGAUGAAAACUGUGGGAAACUGAAACUGGAAUUCUGUCCUGCCUCUGCAACUUUUCUGGAAAUCUAAA